CAGGGAAUAGUUUAGUUAGAAUAUCAGCUUUGGGUGCUGAUGGAGGGGCUGUUGCUUCUUCCUUGA
rnacentral:tRNA from 1 species